UACGUAGGGCGCAAGCGUUGUCCGGAAUUAUUGGGCGUAAAGAGCUCGUAGGCGGCUUGUCACGUCGGGUGUGAAAGCCCGGGGCUUAACCCCGGGUCUGCAUUCGAUACGGGCAGGCUAGAGUGUGGUAGGGGAGAUCGGAAUUCCCGGUGUAGCGGUGAAAUGCGCAGAUAUCGGGAGGAACACCGGUGGCGAAGGCGGUUCUCUGGGCCUGUACUGACGCUGAGGAGCGAAAGCGUGGGGAGCGAACAGG
rnacentral:rRNA from 1 species